rnacentral:rRNA from 1 species
CCUACGGGUGGCAGCAGUGGGGGAUAUUGCACAAUGGGGGAAACCCUGAUGCAGCGACGCCGCGUGGGUGAAGAAGUAUUUCGGUAUGUAAAGCCCUAUCAGCAGGGAAGAAAGAAGACGGUACCUGACUAAGAAGCCCCGGCUAACUACGUGCCAGCAGCCGCGGUAAUACGUAGGGGGCGAGCGUUAUCCGGAUUCACUGGGUGUAAAGGGAGCGUAGACGGCCGUGCAAGCCAGGAGUGAAAGCCCGGGGCCCAACCCCGGGACUGCUCUUGGAACUGUGCGGCUGGAGUGCGGGCGGGGCAGGCGGAAUUCCUGGUGUAGCGGUGAAAUGCGUAGAUAUCAGGAGGAACACCGGCGGCGAAGGCGGCCUGCUGGACCGCGACUGACGUUGAGGCUCGAAAGCGUGGGGAGCGAACAGGAUUAGAUACCCUUGUAGUC